ensembl:lncRNA
ACAAUCUUUUCUGUUGUUAAGCACAAGAGACAGUUACUUCAGGCUUUUAAAGCUUAAAUUACAGGGAAGCCAACACACUUAGAGCAGAGAAUUGCAAGUUACAAGGGAGAAGCAAAGAAGAGACAUUGAGGUGGCAUUUUGUAGGUGAGCACAAAGUAAUGUUCGUUGAGGUUUAACAGAACAGUGCUAGAGAGUUUAGAAAGAAGAAUCACGAAGGCCUGGAGGAGGGAUGUGUAAGGACUACAUAGAAGCAGUGUAGAAGCGAAGCUCUUCUAGCAGGCGUUAUCCAUCCAACACAAGCUGGAUGACUCAGUGUAAAAAGAUGCUCUCUUCUCAUGAACGCUUCCCCUUCAACAGUAAACAGCAUUAGCUACAAAUGUCUGUAACUUCAUCUCUAUCAUUUCUGUGUGAAAGCAACAGUGACAGUUUGUCCUCCUAUCUUCAGUCAUCAUCACAUAACAUAGUUGAAACUUGUUUCUGUAAGAAAGACCUCAGAACAAGCAAACAGAUGAUGUUCAACUUCCAUACCCCUGCUUGGAGCUUCCGGUGUUGUGCUGUGAUGCUUCAGUUCCUGGCAUCCGAGCUGCAGCUACAGGAUUUUGAGGAGACGCUAUCGGCAUAUGUAAUAAAUUAAUGGGAUUUAAUGAACCCAGAGUAGCCCCAAAAGGGAGGAAGUGUGUUGCAGUGCGAUGGAUGCAUCUGAGCAAUCAGGACCACCCAAAAGUCAGGCUGUGUGUCCAGAUGCUUCUUGAACUCCAGCAGCUUGGUGGCAUGGUCACUACCCUGGGCACCCUGUUCCAGCUCCUGGUGAAGAACCUUUUCCUGAUACCCAACCUGACCCUUUUUGGACUUUGGCACACAAAACUGCAGACAGUUGAGUUUCCAUGCCACCUGUGAGGAUUUCACUCUCUGACUUCCCACUUGGGUGUUCGUUAUGUAUGGCCUGCAUAGGAAGCAUUCUUAUAUGUUGCACGUGGAUACUGCAGAAACAUUCAAAGUGCAAGAAGAUGUGACUUCAGAGGGGACGUGGUUGCAAAUUCAGAUGUCUGCCAAAUCACACUGGCAGGAUUCAGAUCUUCAGGUGUCUGUGCACAAACUUCCAUGGCUGUAUCUUAAGAUUUAAAGAGGAUACCUAUAUUACUGUUGUCAACCCAACAGUUGGAUUGGGUUUGCUGGGUUGGGGUGGCUGGCAGCCUGUUAAAUUUGGAAAUGUUGUCUACUUGUUUCUUUGCACUUACUUAAAGGUAUGCCUGGGGACAGUGAUAGAGCUUUUUUUCUGUACCAGAUUUGCAGAGGUUUUAGGUAGUAUCUCUUGAGGCUGGGGCAGGGGGUGUACAAUGAGUGCUUCAUUAAAACAGCAAUAAAUUGCACCAGUGUGUGCAUUUACAGGGCAGGAACAGCCGAGGCUCUUUGUGUUGCUCUGGUGCUGGGGCUCCUUGGCUCAAUGAGCUUCUCUAAGGAUGGCUCUGCCAAUGGGGUCUUGCUUGAGGGCGGCGCCUUUCACUUCAAAGCUCUGAGCUGAAGCGUGCCAGUGGGGACGCUUCCCUUUCUGAAUGUGCACUCUGUGGUCAUAUAGUAAUAGGGUUAAAAUAAAAAUAUUGAUCAUCUGUGUGUGUUGCUGAGAGGAAGGAGUGCGGAGCACGGUGUCCUUUCUGGGACUGUGGGGGUUCAGGAUUGGGAAGUGAGCGAUUUCCAGCUCAAAUGAGUGGGAACGGUUUGUAACCACGUCUACAAACAAAUCCCGCAGCUCAUCUAAGCCCGGUCUGUAAGAUGCAUUGCUGCACAUCCUAUCCACAAAGCCCCAGUCCCAUUAUCUGCAUGUUCUGAGACACCGGGGACACCUCUGCUGCCUCUCGGUGGUAGUGGUGCGGCAGUGGUUGCUGUAAUGCUUGCAGCUUUUUCUACGGAGCAGAUACAUACCACGAGUGGGAUGAUUUGGGAGGAAUUAACUUCGAGUUAACUUAUUUCCCUCUUUGAAAAAAGAAGUUAAACGAGCGCAGCCUAAAUCAAUAUAAAAUAGAACUGUGUUUUUUCCCAUGCAAAAAAAUAACAAGGGCUUUUGCACUCUGUCCUUCAAAUUUGCUUUGGCAACUAUAAGCCAUCUCCAUUUUAUUAAACAGCUCUCUUUCCUCCUAAUAUAUACAACAAUGUUUGCAGUAUAAACAACUUAACUAGACAGCUGCCUCUCCCCAGAUGCAGGACGCGGUUAACUUUUUGCCCUGUUUCUGUUCACCAGGGCUGGUAACUUUUCCUGCUGGCCAGAUGAAAUAAAAUUGGAUUUC